rnacentral:rRNA from 1 species
CGUGUAGGCGGUGCGGUAAGUUGGGCGUGAAAUCCCCGAGCUUAACUCGGGUGGGCCGUUCAAGACUGCCGUGCUAGGGUGCGGGAGAGGGAAGUGGAAUUUCCGGUGUAGCGGUGAAAUGCGUAGAUAUCGGGAGGAACACCUGCGGCGAAGGCGGCUUCCUGGACCGUAACCGACGCUGAGGCGCGAAAGCUAGGGGAGCAAACAGGAUUAGAUACCCUGGUAGUCCUAGCUCUAAACGAUGAGCACUGGGUGUGGCCCCUCACGGGGCCGUGCCGAAGCUAACGCAUUAAGUGCUCCGCCUGGGGAGUACGGUCGCAAGGCUGAA